GGGGCCUUAGCUCAGCUGGGAGAGCACCUGCUUUGCAAGCAGGGGGUCGUCGGUUCGAUCCCGACAGGCUCCACCAUUUGAGUGAAACGACUUUGGGUCUGUAGCUCAGGUGGUUAGAGCGCACCCCUGAUAAGGGUGAGGUUCGGGUUUGGUUUGCGAAGUCCUACCCCAGAAUCACCACCCACUUCUUGAAUUGUAAGGUGCACACAUUUAAGAAUUUUAUAUUGGAUUCCAGCCGUUGGAAGGCUUGAGACAAUGUUCUUUUUAUAACUUGUUGGACGGAGCGAGCGUUUUGAGAUAUCUAUUCUAAACGUGUCCGUUGGAGGCUAAGGCGGGGACCUUCGAGUCCCCUAAAUAAUUGAGUCGUAUGUUCCGCGUUGGUGGCUUUG
rnacentral:misc_RNA from 1 species